rnacentral:pre_miRNA from 3 species
AAAAGUGCUUACAGUGCAGGUAGCUUUUUGAGAUCUACUGCAAUGCAAGCACUUCUUAC